UUUUCAUCGAAGCCGAUUCCGUUUCGCUGUCAAGAGCAAGUGACGCCGGUUUCUAUCAUCCGGCAGCAUAAUCCUUUGAUUUUAUGUGGUUAAAACAAAUCUAAAUUGUGCCAAAAAACAGUUCGGUGUAUAGUUUCAUGAUGAGUGCUGGUGGAAUGCUGUACGGAGGGGAUGAGAUCGGUGCGCUGGUGUUCGAUCCGGGCCAUCAUUCGCUGCGUGUUGGUUACGCACAGGAAGACACCCCAAAAGCGGAGAUUCCGGCCGUGGUUGGUGUUGGCCCAGCCGAUGCCGCCUUGAACUCGGAUUUGGAAACUAAGGGGGAUAAUAACGUCACCCCGAAUAAAUAUUAUGUUGAUACAACGUUUGUUAGCGUGCCGCGGCCAAAUAUGGAAAUACAGACGUAUAUGAAGGACGGAAUGAUCGACAACUGGGACUUGUUCGAGAAAGUGCUGGAUUACGUUUACGCUAAUGUCAUCCAAUCUGAAUCGAUGUAUCAUCCGGUGCUCUUUUCCGAAGCUGCCUGGAAUGUACGGAAUAAUAGGGAAAAACUAACCGAGCUGAUGUUUGAAAAGUAUAGCGUUCCGGCCUUCUUCCUCGUCAAAAACUCUGUCCUGGCGGCUUUCGCGAACGGACGCGCGACGGCUCUGGUGGUGGAUAGCGGUGCUACACAUACAUCUGCCGUUCCGGUUCAUGAGGGUUAUGUCCUCAGCCAGGCCGUGGUGAAGUCUCCGCUGGGCGGUGACUACCUCUCGCUGCAAUGCCGACAGUAUUUGGAAGGGCAAAACAUUGAUUUGACGCCCGUCUAUGGCAUCGCUGCCAAGGAUGUAAUUAAGGAACGCGACAAUGCGAGGUUCACUCCUCGUCAACUGCCAGACAAGUUAACUCCAUCGUGGCAACAGUACAUGCUCAAAGGUUUGCUGCAAGACUUCCAGAUGACUGUUGUUCAGGUGCUAGAGACACCAUAUGACGAACGAACGGCAGCCCAAAUUCCAGCAGUCCACUAUGAGUUCCCCAAUGGAUACCACCAGGACUUCGGUCCGGAACGGUUCAAACUGGCUGAGAGCUUGUUCGAUCACACGAUGUUGGGUGCAGGACAGUUGGCAUCGACCAGUGUCGGGAUGUGUGAUGCGGAUGUGCGUCUUUCUUUGUACGGAUCGGUAGUCGUUACCGGGGGUAAUACACUGCUACCAGGAUUCCCGGAGCGCUUGAACCGAGAUCUGCAGCAUCGGGCACCAUCCAAUACUAGACUGAAGAUGAUUUCCGCCAACGGAUCCGUCGAGCGACGUUUCGGAUCGUGGAUUGGUGGCUCGAUUCUGGCCAGCAUCGGUACCUUCCAACAGAUGUGGAUUUCUUCCCAGGAGUAUGAGGAGUCCGGCAAAAGUCAGGUGGAAAGGAAAUGUCCCUAAUUUGACGCGGAUUCCAUCGAAUAUUUGAAGAGUCUUGAAUUGUAAUAACAUGCGACUGGGAAUCGGCAUUACUGGUUUCACCAUGCUUAUCAAUAAAUCUUGAAGCAAUAGUUUACACUAGCAUACAAAAACAUCUGAUGAUCUGGAUUGAACUUGUAUAUGAUGGCGUUAAAAUACUCGUGAACUUUGAAUGUUUAUUUAUAUUAGCGAAGGGAAUUUCGCCCAUGAGACACUUUAUCACGCGGAGGAGCAGCGUAUUAUAAAUAGGGGAAUAUUACAU